GCGCCCCCCGCCCGGCCCCGCGGCGGGGACAGCCCUGCCCGCCCCAGGCGGGACGAGGCGGGACGGGAAUGAGGGAACCCGGCCGCCCGCUGGGCUCCCCCGGCCCCAAAAUGGUGGGAGCCGCUUCGCCCCGCCCCCGAGCGCGGUGUUUGUUUGUGUUCCGGCCAUGGCGGAGCCAGCGGCCGCUCGGGCCCGGCGGGACGGGACAGGACGGGAAAACACAGGACAAGGCGGGGCGGCUCCUUCGUGGCGGCCGCGGGGACCCCCCGCGCCACCCGGCCCGCCCCGGCUGGGGGUGGGCUGUGCGAGGCCGAGGGACCUUCCCAAGGGUUCCCCCGCGAGUGGGUGCCCGGGCAGGGAAUCCCUGUGCUGAUCGCUGGCGUGACCCCAGUGGGCACAGGCCAGUGUAGGGACAGGGCACUGAGCCCCAGUGUGGAGCAAAACCAGCGGCUGUCACUUGUCUUGCUUUUAAGUUUCUAGAGGCUUUUUACGUGAUUAGCAGAUACUAAUAGAAAACAUGUAUUUAGCUCCUUUUCUUUCUGAAAAAACGUAUUCACACUUGCAUAUAAAUAUAGGUAAGUACAGAUAAAUGCACGUUUCAGGAAAGCGAAUGCCCCUAUGUCACUGUUGGUGUGCCAGCCCUGACCCACACAGAAGGGAAUGGUCCUUACAGGAUGAUCCUAUAGAUGUUCUUUCCAGCUUUAUUGUCUGUGAUGGUUCUUCAAAAUCCCUCUUUGGCUUUCAGAUCCAUGCCAUGGAAAAUAUUUUAAAAUCGAUUUUUUGAACUGAAGUAUUUUUUAAAGUGAAGCAAAUUUGGUGCAGACCAGCUGGAAAGUUCUGUCUGUAAAGCCGUGCAGCGUGGCUGCUUCUUAUCAACAAGUUCUCUGCUGAUACAGGUCGGCCCUGCUUUGCACCAGACCUCCUGUCUGGGUUAGAGUAUCUACUCACAGUGACGAGUUUGGCUCCACAAUCUUUGCUGGUGGACGUCAGUCUGGGAACAGACUUUUUGCUGAUUAGCCAUAUAAGUUCUUUCUUGGAGAUUUCAUUUUCUUGCUCUUUAGGGAGUUUUGUUUUGCUGCUUAUCAACAGAUUAGCUAAACAACCACAGUGCGAAAUCUGUCAUUGCUGCCAUUUAUGGUGUCCAAACACAGUUUCGGGCUUUUCUAGGAAACUGAAACUGAAAACGGUGCAGGAAUUGUGAGUGUUGCUCAAGAUAAAGAGGCUUUGCAAUGGCACGUUGCUGCUGUAAAUAAUGACUGUUUUACUUGACUUGCUCAUUUGCGUGUUUAUCCUAUGACUCUGCUGGCUUGGUUUAACAGAAUUGGGCAAGCAGUUGUUGGAGAGGAUUCAGCCUCACCCAGUCCUGGUUUCAAGGUUAAGGCAAUGUCAGAACUGUUUGCUGUGAGAACCUGGUGGUGAAAAUCCAGCGCUAUUUUCAGUUGUAUUUUCAGUUGUGCAGUGGCAACAUUGAAAAUGAGAUUAUGGGCAACUAGAAAGACUUCUUUAUUUCAGAUGACAUUUCAUAUUUUGUUCUCUCUGUGAGGCUUUGGCCUGUGUCAUUGGUGUAGCUCAGUGUAGACCACAGGCAUGUGCCACACUGUGGCUUGGAGUCCCGAUCUGAGGAGGUCCUGUGGGAGCAUAUGGUGCCUCCCUGCUGGCUGACAUGCCGAGAUUUCCUUUCUUUGGAAACCAGAGUGCAAACAUGGGGCCCUGGUCUCAUCCUAAUACACAGUCGGGACAUAGAUGGGAUGUGCUCUGGGUCCCGUGGUAUAGAUGUUGCAUUUAUUUACCUUGAGGCAGAUCUCCAAAAGGAAUAACUGCUAAACCCAGUUAAAACUUUCCCAUUGGUAGGUACAGGGUGUUCACUUGAAAUCUGGGCACAUUUAAAAAAUGCAGACUUGUUAAGUGCCAGAAGAGAUCUCCUUUUCAUGGCAGACUCACAGAGACCAAAGAGGAAGCAGCAGUUCACAUUUGUCUUUGCAAUACAACAGACUGCACCUGUGAGAGCUCUGACUACCAGUCAUGCCUGGAUUCUUGGAAGUAGGGAUGGUUGAAGCCACUGGUUUUCUAGGCUGUUCACUCCUGUUAUGUCAGGUAGGUUGUUAAUAAUGGCUUUGCAUCACCAGCUCAAAAGUUGUACAGCGGUCCAGAAAAUGGAAAAUGGAAACAUUCUUGUGUUUACAAAUGUUGUUUUUAAAUAUCCCUGCGUAUGCUAUGGUGUGGCUGUGAACCUUCUCCUUUUGAUACCCUCUUUUGCAGGCUGGGGACAAGAAAGCAGCUGAAGAGCUUGUCAAGGUAGAGGUCAGUUGUCCUUUUAUUGCUCAAUAAGCAGUUGAUGGGAGUCUUUUGUCCAGAGAACACAUGAGAUGUUUUUACUAUUCCUAAGUUGAAGGAGAUUGAACAGACCUGGCAGACUUCACUGUACCUGCUCUUUGUAGAUAAUAUUGGUAAGCACAGAGGCUGUUCAGAGGGAUCUGCUUCGUGGAAACAGAUACAGAUCCUUGCAUGUGCAGAAUAGUAGAGGUGACUGGACCAAACAGAGUAUAGGCCAAACCAAAAUAGAUCCUGGUUUAUGAGCUGUCCAUGCUGCAGGAGGUCCUUGUUCCAUACAGAUUUGGAAGCUCACAAGUAGUCUGUAUGGUCUCCUUUUUUUUUAUUAGAGGAUGUGAUUUAUGAGCACAGUUUCUUUGUUCUAGCGGAACCAUGGGACAGUUUAACUGAUUACUUCAGUUCUCUCUGGUUUUUACUUCCUCUGCUUAGUUUAGGGAACAAGUAGUUAUCAGACUGGGUUUUCUAGAGCCUUAAAAUGAUCCUAUAGAGGAGGAAAGAUUCAUGUAGUGGUGAAGGGCUGCAUAGAUACUACACAUAGAAAAGAUGAAGGCAAAUACAAAAAUUUGUGUCAAACUAAUAUCAACCUGGCAACCUAAGUCAAUGAAACUUUUUCUCACCUGUAAACAUUUAAACAGUUGGCUGUAAUCUGUUGUCAGAAUAGAAAUGGGGAUAGUCUCAAAUUUGCCAGUGUACAGAGUUCAUGUUCUGGUACAUCUUGGUAUGACAAUGUCAUGCAUAGGUCAGUUGUAAUCACUUCUUGGCAGCCAGCGUCUUCUAAGUGAAAUCUAUUUUUCAAAACAAAAUGGAAAUUCAAGAAAAAUGUUUUUAAAGCAUGCAGGCAAACUUCGUUUUAUUUUGUAGGUUUUUGAUAUGAGGAGAGACAAGUUACAUAAUGCUGUAUUCCUAAGGCUUGUAUGAGCUAGCCAGAGAUGAGGAACUAUCUUACUAAGAAAUCCCUUUCGAGUUAAAAAUCUAAAAUCCACUGAGAACGUAAAACCCCAAUAGUUUCUCUGCAAAAUUGACAUCAUAAAUUGCCUAAUUUAUAGAUAAAAGGCCCUUUAAUGACAUCAUUUUACAUGAUCCAUGGUCAUGUUAUUGUUGGACAACAUUUUGGAUAUAUUUAAUGUGUCAUGCUCAGUAAAAGUUUUUGAAAGACCUUUUCUGUCCUCAGCAUGGAAAAGUUUUUUCACUUCUUUUCCAUCAAGCUUAUUUUCCUGGCACUUAUCGUCUCUUAUUAUGUCUUAUCUUUCUUCUGGAUAAGAUUGUUUUCCCAAUUCAUAUACAGAAGCCCAGUUAACUUCUGAGUGAUCUCUCCAUGCCAUGGUACCCAGAGGUUCAGAGAUAGCUCUGUUUGCUUGGGCAAUGUUAGUGGGACACAGUACUAUUUUAAAACCUUUUUCUGGAAAAAAAAAAAAGACCUUGUAUACCUCUGAAGAAUGGAAUUAAAUUACAUUCUUCUAUUAUAUAUGUGAAUCGGAUUAUGGGAAUGAUGGAAUUAAUUUAUCUUAUUAUAAAGAACAUAGCAUCUUCUAAAAUACACAUGAUUGGUUUUAGUUUUGUUCAUUUUAGCUGAACCAUAGAACCGUUUCUCAGUAUAUAUUACAACUGUAUAUUGUUUUCUGCAGGAGAAUGAAUGCAGCUCUAGAAAGCAAUUAUGGAACUAAUAUAUUUCCCUGAAAUGCAUGUUGUGAUGCAGGAUUUUGCUCAUGUUUCUGAAAAUUACUUAAACUUCUGCUUAAAUUAUCCUGGUAUCACAAGUACCACUUAAAUUAAUUUAUCCUGAAGAUACUAUCUUGGUAAGGAUAAGUAUUCCAUUAUUGGCAAAAAUAACUUGCCUUCCAUAAUAACUCUUUUCCCCAGAUCCAGCAUGUUUUUUUUCAGCAAGGAGUAUAAUGCCUAGCUAUUCUGUGCACUGGGGCACCUACACUGUAUGUCACAAAGAAGAAAAAGGACAUGUAUUUUGGCACUAAAAAAACCCAAACAACAAAGCAAACAGUCGUCAUAAAAAAGUAACCUCUUCAAACAAACCCUCUGUCACCCAGCUCCCUGGUGAAUUUUGUGUAGGAGUUCAUUUUCCUUUUUCUCUGUGUACCGUGUGUUACCACAGUCUCAACUUCAAGAAUGAUCAGAGACCUAUAAAACAUGAUCUAAGAGGAAAGGCUGAAAGAAUUGGGGUUGUUUAGUUUAAAGAAAAUGAAAGUGUUGGGAAAAACAGUAAUGAUCUUCCAAAAUGUAAAAUGUUUCUCUGCAGAGAGAAGGAAAAAGUAUUUUUUUAUGUUCAGUGAGUCUAGGGCAAGAGGUGAUGGAAUUGGAGUAGGAGAUUUAAGGUAGACAUUAGGAAAUUAUUUCAAACUGCAAAAGUAUUUUGGCACUGAAAAUGAUUAUCUGGGAAUCUCGUUUACUAAAGGCUUUGAAAGGCCGAUUAGGUCACGUGUGUCAGGAAUGGUUUUAGUUGCAGUAGAUUAUAUGGAGAUAACCCCAAAAGGUUCCUGGCUAGUUUAUAGUGUUUUGUUUCUCUCAGGUGAUUUACAACAGAUGCUUUAAUGCUGUGUUGUUUUGAUUCUCACUCUUUCUGCCCUUAGAAAAUGCCAGUAAGAAAAAAUUAGGUAAAAAAUCGGGAAAAUGGAAUGGAUGGUGACAUUUCCAAUAGCAGAAUACUAAGAAAUCACAGGCUCUGCAGGAUAACUGUUGUGUUUGAGCCGGUGUGUGACUUGCUGACAUGUCCUCCUGACAAGCUUUGGGACUCGAAUACUGGGCUGGCAUUCAACAAGUAGUGGAUAGUCAAUACACAGAAAUCUGUGGUUUAACUAAUCUUUUAAAUUUUAAUUUAUUUUUAAAUUUUAUUUGAAGUGUUGGUCUUUCUUCACUUUUUGCUGUGUGUAAGUACUUCCUGAACCUGCAAGGAGUGAGCUCUAGCCAGAGUUCACCAGUGGCCAGUUUGUUAGUCAUCAGGUCCUGUCACUGCAGCUUCAGGGAUAUUCUGCCCAAGGUGUGGGAAAAGAUAGAUAUUUGAAGUAGCAGGUCUAAAAGCCAGAAUUACCUCAAUUGCUGAGAGGUAUGAGGUUGGACAUGAUAUUGUUUCGUCCGAAUUCAGCAUUUAUCUUUGAGAAUUUUUAUUCCUCACAAGGCCUUGAGGUUGCCGCAACAGUAAGGUAGUACCCAAAAUUCUUGUAUCUCUUUGAAGCAGAAUUGGAGAAUUUAUCCCUUGUCCAAGUUGAAUAUAUAUUUUGCUGCACAACUUAAAACACCUCUUGUUCACCUUCUCCUAAGUCUUCCUGUUUCUCUGAUUUUCACCAUUUUUCCUGUAGCCUAAAAUCUUUGUUUUCUACUGGUAGGUAGCUAUAGGUCUUCUGCAAUAACAGAAUGAUCAAAUGAUGCAUGGAAGGAUUCAUGAGAACCUAUGGAGUGUGACCCUCUGGCAGACAACUCUGUCCAGUCCAAGAUCAUCUACAUCUUCAUCAUUCCUUGACAGAAAACCGUUGAAACUGUUUGGAUACCGAAUGAUGGCUACAGCCCAGUGCCUUCCUCUGGAGCUGCGGUGGUGCCACAUUGCUGUAAUCCCAUUGUAUUGGUCACCAACAUAGGAUCCACUUCCCCAGGGAUGGAUCCCUGUCCUUGAGCCUUAACAGAUCAGUGAGGUAAGGAGAAGGAAAGGCCCCUGCCAUCAUCAAAGACAACCCCAGACUCUUCCGAGCCUUGUCCAAAAGCUUCAGUAAUUUACAGUUCCUUAUGUUCAAUCAGAACCAAAAGUUAAUGCCCGUUGGCUAAUUUCCAGUGCAUGCCUCCACAGAACAACUGCUGCCUUUAACUGGUGGAGAGAUCAAGGCUUGAACUGACAAAAGACAUCUGUAUUUUGGAAAACAAAUUAAUGUUUAUGUUUUAAUUUAUAAGUUCCUGGCUCUUUUAUGGUUCCUGUUUUUCAAGUAAUGUCUCUUUGGAUCCCUAGCUGAUGGAGAGUCAAAAUGGAAAAGGCCCAUGAGAGAAUUAUCACAAUAGAACAUCUGGUCUGCAUUGGAAAAAGCUGAGAAAGAUAUUCAACAUCUCUGAGACCAAGAGGCAGCUAUGAGGCAGUUUGAAAGUCAGUCUAUGAAAAAUUGUGCAGGUUGUGGCCACCUGGGCCAAUCUAGUGUUGUUUUGAGAAGAACUACUCUGCUUCCUUGCAUCUGAAUUUUAAUGUCACUUCAGCACGGAUAUGUGAGAACUGGGAGUGGUAUGAAAGGUGUUUACUUUUCAUAAUGUUAAUCUGAGUCCCAGCAUUGUCCUAAUUAUAUUGUGGGUUUUUGCCAGUCUCCUAAGUUUUCUUUUGAGCAUGUAGGCUGGAGUCAAAAGGCUUUCCCAGGGUUUUGGCAUAGCUUUAUAGGAAAAUGGAUGGAAAUUACUUUGUAUAUUUUUGGAAGAAUAUUUUGCAUCCUGCUUUAAACUGUUCCAGAAGGUAAAAGGACGUUAGCUAGACUGUGUAUUGGCUCGUGUACUGGUAUGUCACUAAUGGCAAGGAGUUUUGCUUCACCUAAUUGUUCCUGUUUUCUGCAGCCACAGACUAUGAGAAAUGCAAAGAAAUAAUGGGCCAACCAGGGCAAUAAAGGCACUACUGGAUUCAGAGAGAACAAACUCCUUCCACCACAUGAAACUUUCGUCUUUUAAAUCAUCAUAGCUCAUGCAGAACAGAAACAAUUUGACAUGUAUAACAAGAAACACUGCAAUUGUUUGCCAAACAAAGACUUAUACUGCAGAUGGAAGAACUGAUGAAAAUUGUUUAUAGAUGGGGAACUUAAUGUAGAUUUUUCAAGAACAAGGUUGCUCUCUUCCUUGCCAAGACAAACAACAAAUCUAAUAGAAGUCUUAUUUCUUUAGGCUGCCUGAGGACCCACUGGAAAAUCUAUGGACUUUUCUCCACAGCAAAUUUGUGUAUCAUCAAUACGUAAGUGGAUUGUCCACAGUUACACUGUGGCAGCUGCAGAGGAAGUGGAAGGUUCUCAGGAAUACAUUAGGGAGAACUGGAUUUUUGGCUUCUGAUAUAGUGUGGAGCGCCUUUGGAAACUGUGGAAGUUUAUGAGCUGGAUGUUACUGUUACAAAAGGUUAUCUAUGAGUUAAACAUAAUAGUAAUUAAUCUGCUAUCUUUAGAUCCUAACACUAACAACAUGAUGAAACUGAGAAUUCCUAUUCUUUAGAAUUCCAGUUUUCCAGGAUGCCUUCAUUCCUACGAAGAUGCCCUGAUCUGCACUUAGUUUUCAGUGUUACCUUUAGCAAUCUGUGCACAGAUGUUUUUACAAGGCACUAUGUAGUCAUCCCAAACAACUGGUUUUAAUGGGCCAGUUAUUUAGGAAAAGCAUGUAAUGAGAACAUAAAUACAAUCCCUGAUACUGACAUAAAGCAUGUAUUAGCAGAGUAAUAUAGUUUGUAUUGCCCUGAUAGAUAGCAGACUCUGGAAAUAUUAAACUUGUCAUGUCCUUAAAAUUCUGUUAUAUCUGUAAACAUAUAUGUCUUGGAAAAUAGGGCCCACAGCAUCCAGGACUGCUUUAGGAAAAGUAUUGCCAGGAGAUCAAAGGAGGUGAUUAUUCUCCUUUACUCAGCACUGGUGAGACUUCAGUGGAAGUGCUGUGCCCAGCUCUGGGCUCCCCACAAGAGGAAGGACAUGGACAUACUGGAGUGAGGGCAGGAAAGAGCCAUGAAGAUGAUUAAGAGGAGCACCUGUCAUGUGGCUGCCUUGAGGGGUUUUGAAGUUGAUGUCCUUGAAGAUACUCAAAACCCAACUGGGUGAGCUCCUGAGCAGCCUGCUCUGGGUGAUUCUGCUUUGUGUUGGACUGGUUUGGACUGGAUGAUCUCCAGAGGUGCUUCCACACUGUGAAUAUUUGAAGCAGUUUGGUUAUGUCUUUUCAGCAUUUUAGCUGGAACUCAACUAUGUAGGAAUCCUAAAGAGAGCAAAGGCUGUGACCCUAGAAAUCCAUCCAGAUGGCUGAGGCCCAGAAAAGGCAUAAUGAGAGCUGCUAAGUAUUUUGAAUGUCUCAUCAGAGCGAUAUUUCACUUAAAAAUACAAAUAUAGACAUGACUUGGGUCUUAAUGACACUGAAUACCCAUAAUGUUCUCUCACUUCAGCUGGACUGCAGAUGGUAACAACCUCUCUCUAUCUGAGCACACAUAUUUUAGUUUAAUUUGGCUCUGUAAAAUCUUAUCACAUACUUUACUCUAGAAAUUAAUAUUUGGAGCUUUAUGGUGCAGAAUUUAUUUGUUGAUUUGUUCCACAAUUUCUUUCCUUACUAGUACUGAUAUUAAUAAAUUAAAAUGUAUUUUGACAUAUUCAGUAAUAAGCUCAUACUAUGUCUCAAGGAGUUGAGAAUAUCAUAAUUUGAGCAAGGUAAAAUCAAAAUAUGUAUUGCAUUGCAUAUUCUAUGGCACUUAGUUUGUAACUAUUCUUACAGCACCUUCAGAAUAAGAACAAAGAUUAAAUUCCAAAAAGGCUUUCAUAGUUUUAAAACAACAAGACUUAUGUGGAAAGGCAAAGAUAAUGUAAGAAGAUUCACCUGUGGUUUUUCAUCAUGAAAAUGCCAACAAACUAACUUGCAGUAUUGAGAAUUCCCAGAUCUUCCUCCUUUUGAAAACUCUUUCUUUCAUGUUACCUCUAAGAAUAAAAAGGAAAGCACACUGGAAAACAAGAAAAUGAGAAAUGUUGCACAAGGAAUUAGGAGAUAAAUAGAUUAUAAAGCAUUUGAUUUGAUUUUGGGGUUGCACUUCAGCAAGUGAAACACAGGCCUGUAUGUCCCUGAAGAGCUGAAGUGCAGAAGGCCUUGGUUAUUUCUCCCUGGAUGUGUGUGUUAGUUCUUCAGCUACCCUUGGCCACGAGGCCGUGGUUGCUUCUUGCACACCUGCCCUGCUCCCCUCAGUGACCUCUGCAAUACAGAUAUUUUACAUAGAGAAGAAAUUAUGCUCUAUUCUGAAGGGAAUGACAGAGCAUCUGAGAUCAUACAUUUAAGUCUCCACUUUAUGUAAACCCCAGUGUGGACGUUAUUCUGAGAUCAAGAAGGAGACAAUACAUUGCCAUCUGAAAGCACAAGAAAGAUCAAAAUAAGUUUUCAAUGUGUCACCGAAACCACAGUGCUAGGUUUCUGUUAAGGAGAAUGAGUAAUACCAUUCUAGCUGUGAAGAAUGCUGUGAGUGGGUAAUAAUUCCAUCUAACUGAUAGGGCAGAUUUUCUGCAAGAAAAUAAAUUAUCCCAACUAAAAUCUUGCCCUAUUUCUUCAGCUCAGUAAGAAAGCCCACUCACCAUACCCAUUUAGCUGCUUGUCUAACAUUAGGAUAUCCUCCACCCAACAUUCCCAACCCAGUCUUGCAAUUCAGGAACAGAUUGGCUCCAGCUCUGGCCUGGACCAUAGCUAAAUCUAUAUCCAUGCUUAUAAUACUGUUGCAGAUCAAUAAUAUGAUGCUAUACUGUAUAAAUUGGUUUGUUGAAAUGAUAGUUAUGAAUGAAGUUCUAAACAGACACUGCAACAUAUAAUAAAGGACUAACCUACUGACACUUCUAAUGGGGAUGUGAUUAACACAUACACAAAAUAGCCCAAAGCCCAAUGACUUGCUUCAUGAUUUCAUGAAAAACUUUUUAUUAUUUUCUAUCUACAGUAUUUAACAUUAAGAAUACAUUUGUCUUUAUAAAUUUAUAAAUGCUACUGAUCUGAUAUUUUUGUGCUGACAGUCUAACAAUGAACGAAAGUAUAGUUUUGUCAGACCUCACAUGCACAAAAAUUGUUGAUACCUCGUAAUAUGCCUUUGCAUUCUGGCAGCCUCGUUAUAAUAUUCUUUUGGAAGUGUCACCUGCUUAGGUAAGCUUUGAUUUACAAGAAAUUAUUAAGACAUGUUUAAUUUUAAUUAUGAUCUUUACUAUUUACCUGAAUAGGAAUCUCUGUCCUUAGUUUAAACUUCUAAUAUCCUGUUUAACAAAGAAACAGCUUCAGUCGUACUAAAAGUACUUAAUGUUAAGAAAGUUUUCACAGUUGGUUGCUGGGAUUAGGGCUUUAAAAACAAAGGUCAGGUGAAGAUGCCUUCUUGGAAUACACUAGGAUACAAGCCUCUAUUUUUGUUUGUAGUUCAUAAAUCUACAUAUUACAUAAACUAGGAAUAAGUUUAAUAUAAUUAAAUAUAUUUGUGAGUGACUGGAGUUGAACAGCACACCUACAUGGCUGCAGCAUAUGUGAAUCUUCCUGCAGUACAUUCUGGUGUUGGCUUUCAUUAGACAGUAAGAAAUGUUGCCUGCAAAAAUCUCUCACAACUUGAGACUAAUAUCUGUCUUCUUCACAUGGGAAAUGUAUUUCAUCACUCCCUCACAUGACAUCGAAAUCAGGUCUGCGGAAAUGAAAAUACCAGGCUCUGCACACCAUAGGAUUUGUAAUUAGCUUGAGAUAUCCAGAGAAAAUUCUGUAAGUUACUUUAGUCUCUUUAUUUUGCCUUGUCUCAAAUCUGUCUGAUUUUGUUUGAGUUUAUGAGUAAUUUUUGGUGGAAAUGUCUGUGUUGCAAUUGAAAUGCUCUAACAAGUCCUCAUCACUAAAAUGCACUGAGUUCUGUUACUUCUGAGGAGCCAUGUGGAGUCCUGGAGUCCUUGUGGCUGCUGGGGAACUCAGGAGCUUCCUGGUCUCACUUGAGCCAUAUGACAGAACCCCAAAAACACCUGUGAUGUCUUUAGGUCUUAAAUAUUUGGUUUAAAUGUCUAAAAGGUAAGAGUUUCUUAAGCAUCAUGAGACACGAGAGUUAACAGAUCAGCCUGAGCCAUGCCUCUUGCAUUUACUUCUUCAAUAAAGUUGUCAGGAUGCUGCCCAACCAGGCUGCCAGAUGUGCUCUCCAUGUUUGGGGUAAGUAAUCACUUGGGCCUGGGAUCUUCUGCACAAGCUAUGCCUGAACCCACUGCAGUUAUUUUAGGUGACACACUAAAGUGGUCAGCAUAAACUGAGAAGACUUAGUCCAGCACUUUGUCAGCAUGCCAGAAGAAAUUCCUUGGGAUUCAGUCUGAGAUUUCAUUUCAGUUAAUUGUCAGGAUGAUGAAUAUUAUUUAUUCCACACUAAAGCUUAUUUUAAUCCAAAACACAGAUAGAUAGUGUCAGUGCAGGCAAAAUGAUAGUUCUUCCUGCAUAGAAGCCCAUUUAGAUAUAAUCCAGUUUGCUCCCCUGUCUCUAAAUUUGAAGGACAACAGGAAUGGAGACUGCAGCUGAGAUUCCCUUGCACUUGAACCUGAUCUAAUUAGGCAAGUCUAUUUUUUCACAAAAUAAAACUAUUAUAGACAACAAUAUGGUGAACUGAAAACUCCUCAAAGUUGUUAAAUUCUGUCUAGUUUGGAAAAGGAGCUGUAUCAGGCCGAUGCUCAGUGAGGCAAUGGAGCCCAGUGGGCAGAGUGCUGGACAGGGAUUGAGAAAUCUCGGUUCUUUUCCAAAAUCUCCUGACUUUUAAAUGACCUUGAGCUGUCACUUCUCUGUGCUUUGGAUUCACUGCCUGUAUGAGGAGGAUAAUAAUGCUCAUAAUGGUUUCAGAGUUGCUGAAGGAAGGAUCUGCAUGAACACAACACUUCGAGCACUACCCUGAGCUAGAUGCAGCUGUGGUUAGAGGUGGCCAGGAUUUGGUCAAUGCCUCGUGUAUUCCAGAAAAUCUGGGAAACUUUGAUUGUUACACAGCUUGCUUUCAGUUAUCUGUCAAAACACAUUUUUAUGUUAAAGGUCUUCCUUAUCUUUCACACCAUUACAAAAUAUCUCCAGAAAAUUUCAUAUUAUUUACUUACGCAUUAAUACUCACAGUUCAUAUUCCUGUUACUGGGAACUGCAGAGUGCCUCUCAGGAUCAUACAAAUGAUAACUUACCAUAGAUAAGGUGGUUUUGACCUAAAAAAGAGAAGUGUUUUGCAAUGUUAUAUUUAACAUAUCUGGGGAAAAAAAAUCAUCAAUUAGUUUAUGUUAUAAGGUAAUUGAAUUGGGCUUUUAGUUUGAAACAUUCUCUUUGAAACUAAAAAAAAUUGGUUUUUUAAUUGUCAUUUUAAAUUAAUGUCUUGAUUUCACACGUUUUGUAUUAAUAUACAACUACAAGCUCUGUGCACAAAAAAAGAACAGUCUACUUUCAAAACUGCUGAAUGCUUUGACCUCAAGGGCAUAGAAACUGUUGACUCAUUGUUUUUACUGCAUAUAAUAUUAGUCCUUUGUCACAUCCAGGGAAUGACAUCAUCUUCUUCAUUGUUAGCAGCAGGUUUGAAUAACAGAAAAAGUGCAGCAUUAGUUGUCUGCUGUGUUCAUUCUUAAUAAAUGAAUGGAUAUCUGGUACCAAGACUCAGAUUAGGAUUUUUGAGUAACAUUUAGAACAAGCUUGUGCCCAAACCCUGCAAAGAGCUUUGCUUCUGGCCACCAUCUGCAGGGCAGUCGAGCUGGCAGGAGCCCGGAGCCUGCAGAGGGAACGUAGCUGAUGGUUCUGGCUUCUUAAAAGUGGUAAGAGGAGUCAGGAAAGGAAGAGAUUAAGCACAGAAUGAAACAGAUCUGUUCUUCAAGGUCAUUUUAGUAAAAGGAGUCCCUGCACUUCUGUGAAUCAUACUUCUGUGAAAUCUAAAAUCAUGAAAAGUAAUUAUCAGAAAAUAAGUCAUCUCUAGGACAUGCAAACAAAAUGGGAACUAAUUAUCUUGAAAAUGCACCAGAACAAGUAUUUCAUCUAUUCCAAAUUUGUAUUCAUGUUUAUUAGUCUUCUACUCCCUAUAACUAAAAUGUCUAUGUCCUAAUCUCAAAGAGUAAUUCCCUAUCAGAAGUAUUUGGUUACUCCUGCCUGCUUCGUGGAAGAAGGAUACAUCAUUAUGAUUACUAACCAGGCUGAUGGAGGUCUUCUUUAAGGUCAUACACCACCUUCUGUAAGGUUCUUAAGACUUUUUUCAUGGCAGAGAAAAUUUUAAGUGUUGCUUCCUGAACAAUAAACAUUUCUAGUGGAAAAGAAUUUACUCAGGGAGAGAGUCCUCGAGAGUCUGAUCAAAUGUCAAAUUCUAUCUAAUCCAUUACCAAUUGCCUUUAUGUUUUCCCAGAAAAAUGUGAUGUCUUUAACUAUAAAAUUAUACCUUCGUGGUUCCAAAAAUAUUUGUCCUGAAGAUAAGUUCCUGUGUUGAGAGAAUGAAUCAAACUGGACUUUGAAAAGCUAAAAUCCAUAGAGCUGUGAGAGAAGCACUGAGGCAGCAGGCUGGGAAAGCUGGAGGUCAUGGGUUAAGGAUCCAGGAUUGUUGGAUCACAGAGGUCCACAUACCAAGAGUAGAUGCAGACAAGGCUACACACAAGGAAAUAUUUUCUAGAAUGCCAGAACUAAAAAAGAAUAAACAAACCAUGCUGUAAAAGAUCAAAAUCAGACCUUGUUGACUUGGAAGCAAGAGGUCUGAUGUACUGGCCUCUUCAGAACAGACAUGACUGUACUUGUGCAGGUAGGGAGAGCUGCCUUGCAUGUAGGCUUGAGCAGAUGCAUCUAUUUCAAUUCCUAUCUCAAAUGCAUAUUGCAAAUUUCAGACUUAUCUGUUAUGAGAAGUAAGAAAUGUUACAUUUUUUCUACAUAUUUCAUAUGCUUUUGCCAUAUGAAGUCUUUCCUCAGUCUUCUGUUCCAGUCCGUGGUUCACCUUCAAUCAACAUUUCAAAAAGUCUCAAGUAGCAUGAAUUUUGGUGAGGCCAAAUCACUUGAUUUUCCCUUACCCUGUUUAGAAGAGGCUUUACUUGGAUAAAAGCAAUAGUGCCAGCCAUUUCCCUUCAUCCUUUAAAAUUACUGGCCACCUCUAAAGAACUUGGCCUGUCUUUUAUGUCACUUUCUGACAACUCAUUUGAGUUGAACAGGUUGCUGUGGCCAAAUUAAAUGCUUGGGAAAUGGACCAUACAAUUAAUUUGCAAUAGUAAGUUGUCUCAGCAUCAUUUCUCUUCCUCUCAAGGGGAAUGCUGGCUCAAGCAAAAGAAAAGAUUAACGUAAUAAAAAUAUUCUAAAGACAUCCUGUUAAUUGUCCCAAGCUCAGAUGGUAUUGUCUAUUCUUCUGUUGUGCAUAGCCAGCAAACAGUGUAAAAUCCAGAAUUCCUUCCUACCAUGAAAGCAGAGCCUUCAGUGCUACAGGAUAAUCCCUGCCUUUCUGGAAAGCAGAUGAAAAUGUGGUGUGGCAGAGCUUUGCUUUGGGUUUCAGAGGUGAGCUCAAAUUUGCUCCAUUGAUGAAUAUAAUAAUAGGACUUGUUAAUUUAGAUACAUCAGCAACUUUAACCAAGAGAAUAAAGAUUUAUGGAAAAAAGGAAAAUUGCAAACAAAGUAAGAGCAAAUUUUGGGAAAAGAAGGAAAAUUUUUUUCCUGAAUAUGCAAAAGAGAUUUCCCAUGUUUGUUUAGGGACAGAAAACACUCAAGGUUUUAAAUUCAGCCAAAAUAAAGGCUUUCAUUUAUAAUCA